rnacentral:tRNA from 1 species
AGGAAAAUAAUUUAAUGGUAAAAUAGUGAUCUCCAAAAUCAUCAAUAAAGGUUCAAGUCCUUUUUUUCCUG